rnacentral:tRNA from 1 species
GUAAAGGUAAGCAAAAAAAAGCUUUUGGAGUCAUGACCCAACAAUGAGAAGUAAAAUUUAAUUCUCCUUUUACA